UGAACGGCGACGGUGGAGGAAGGGGUGGAGUUGAGGCUACCAUUGCCGACCGUGAGGAUGGAGGAAGUAGUGGAAUUGGGGCUGACAAAAUCUCGAUAAUGCGCUACUUGCCUGAGAGUACAAUCCGCAAAAUCGAGAAUGAUCAGACGUGUCUUUACUGGCGAUUGUGUGGUGCUCAAAGACAUUUUGCAUACCGGAAACUUCUUUUGAAGCUUGACUUUAUUCAGCCAGAUAGUGAUCGUGAAGAUGUCCUAGAAAAGCUUAAAUCUUUGACCAGAUGGCCAGGGCUGAAAGAUUAUUGCGAGCUUACAAGUUGUUUAAAGAGCCAUAUGCAUUUUUUACAGAAACAUGAGCAGAGUAAAAUGAACACAGCUUCCGGUACAUCUGAGGAAAAAAAUCGGCAAUAUUCAUCAAAUGUUGUAAAACACUUACAACUGUGGAUGCAGUUUUAAAUCAGAAAUAAAAGCAGUUCAAGUUUCUUACAGUGACAUGACGUGGCAUGUGCAUGCUUCACAGUUAACAUCAUUGCACUUUUCACUUGGGCAGUAUGAAAAUGCAGCUUUGGAGAAGAUCAACUCAGAGCUGAGCACAACACUGCAGAAGCAUCUAGAUCGAUAUGACUGGAUGCUGAUGGAGCAGUACUAUGACCGUGUGAAACUAAGGAGGCUUUCAAGAGAAUGUGCCACUCAAGCACAGACAAUUGGGGUUAUUCUUGUUGGUGAGGCAAGUUUUCUUUUCUUUUCAGUUGUGCGUUUUGCAAUCAAGGAAAUAUAUAUGAGUAAAAAAAUGUGUUGUAGAGUACAAAUUCAUCGGUGACUAUUCUUGUUUACCAUGGCUAUUGCUCAAGGUUGACUUCAAGUUAUUUACCGCAAAUGGCUAUUGUUCCUUAUUUUCGUUACUGCAGGCUCUACCUAUAAAUCCAGAAGAUAGUGCACUUCCUUUGAUUAAACGAAUACAAGGAAAAUUCAGGAGUGGUGCUGCUGCUGGUAGGCCGUUGCGGUUGCUCGCUCUCGGUGUGUUCGCGGUGGUUGCAGCAGCAGGAAGCUUGUCAUCAAGUGUGUCUAUUGGGUGAAUUUUUGUUUGACUGAUUGGAUACCGAGAUACAUGAUUUAUCACAUAUUCACAUGUCACAAGGACUUCAGAAGGCUACAUUGUAACAAAAAAUAGAUUCCAACACAACAACAUUGGUUUGUAUAUAUAUAGCAUCAGAGGAAAAUUUUGUCGCCGA